CUUAUUUAUAAGCAUUUAUUCCAUUUACAUUUACCUAAUUUAUUUUUAACAAUUUGCCUAGAUUAGUUAUGAAAACUGAGAUACUAGACAAAGCUUGUCAUCAUUUCAAGUUAUUUCCUGUUAACCAUUUUUAUAGCCUGUGAAUAUCAGGCAUUCAUCUAAGUAAGAACCUUAAAGUUAAAUAUAUGGGCAUUUAGCCAAUAACUCUGAAGACACAGCUGUUCUUAUUAAACCACAAUAUUAAAUUAGUCUUAUUUAUCAAAGAAUUGCAUGAAGAUCACUCUGUUUUAGGCUGAGUUUAUAGUUUUACAACUUUUGUGUCAAACCCUGAACACCUUAAAACAUCUGGCAGACAAAUAUAAAACUAUCACACCAGUAAACCCAGGCAAAAAUGUAUACUCACAAUUUUGAAGAUACUUCCAGUUUUAUUUUACCAAUGAUUUUAAAACCAACGUAUUUAUCAAAAUCUACUUAGGUCACAUGAAAUAGAAGACACUUAGGUUAAUAGCUGUAUACUUUAUAUGAGCACUCAUUUCAGCAAAUCUCAAUGGAAUUUCUUAGGGAUUUCUGGCCCGCUCUGCCAGAUUUUACCAUGUAGAUACAACGUAAAACAUAAUACAUGCACAUAUGCAUAAACACACCUAAAGGCAUAUACAUACACAAAGCUCUUAUAGCUUUCAUUGUAGAAUUUUAGUCGUAUAUACGAACUCACUAGUUCAUAAACGAUAGUUGGAUCCAAAUUAUCUUUCUGACAAAAUGGGAACUGUUCACAUGGCGAAAACUUUCUUUGCCCUGCGGAUAGUCUAACGAAGGCUGUGCAGCAAAGUGUUGGGUUAAGCAGUUUGGUUUUAAAAAACAUUUUUGUUUGUUUCAAAUGAGUUUAGUGUUAAAUUUUUAAUGUUUAUGUUUUACCUUGAACUGGCUGAAUUAUAAAAGGAAAAAGAAAAUGUCCAAUAGCCUUGAAUUAGUAAAACAUCUGUCUUUUGUCUGCAGUCUGGUUUCCUUGCCCCUGACUGGUCAAUGCAGGUGGGAAACAUUUUAGCAGGUUUUGGGGGCUUUUUUCCCUUGGUUCCUGCAUGACAGAAAAAGCCAUGUUUAUGCCAGAGAUAUAAAAAAUUGUAUUACUGCUCUGAGCUCCAGAUUUUGACCUGUUUGAUCUCGGAGCCUAACUUUUAUAAACAUUUAUCUAGGUCUUUCCUUUUAGACUAUCAGUCCUUCAAUUAACUGUUCCAUCACCCUAAGCAACUGUUAGGCAAACCUAAAUUUACAUUUUCAAAAAGUGGCUCGGUUGUUGGUUACCAUGGAGCUGUUGUAAUUUGUAAAGCCAGUAAUUUGAAAGCCCUUUAAGACUUUUUUAAAAGAACCUUGGCUGGAGUAUCAUAAGCAGUGAGUUUUAUCUCAAUACCAGCAGAAGGGUCAGCAGAUUGGACAUAAGCAGAAAAAAAAAAUAGAGGACUUACAAUGCUAACUCUAUAGUUGUAGAAUCUUCUUUUAGAAAGUUCGGAUAAUGACCACUGAGCUCUGAAUUUUCCUUGGUGUCAUUUGCCCCUUCAGUUUAAAAAUGUGCAUGAGAAUGGGCCACAAUACAGACAGCUGGAGUCCCAGAGUACCUGGCACAUCUUCAUGUUUGAGAAUCCCGUUCCGUUCCUUAUUAAUCUCUUGAGAGCAAAAAAAUCCUCUAAAUCCUCUCAAGAGAAUGUCAGGAGUCUGGACCAGUGUUUUAGAUAGUGGCAACCACUCUAGUGGCUUUUAGGGAGCCAUCCUGUGUCCAGCAUUUGGAAUGCUUAUUUUUGCUCUUAGAAGGUUUCCAGAAACAAGCAAGAGAAAAGGGCCACAUCAAGCAAAAUAUCAAAUUAGGUACACAGAAAGAAUCAGAAGCAAAUUCACUAAAAAAGACACGCCUCAGAGACAGAAUGGAGAUUCUGCAGGAAUCAGACACUUUAUACCAGAAAGGACUUGCUGGAAAAGACACAAAGUCUUUUAUCAUCUCAGCAGGGAUGGAAGGUCCUUGAUUAAAGGUGGCCUUAUCACCAAAACAAACUCCUAUGAAAUCAAACCGCCUCUACCAAAAAAGAGCGAGACUCGGCCUGAGCAAAGACUCACCAGGGUAGAAAAGCAAGCGGCAGACGCAGAGAGCUCAGAGGGCUCCAGUGACAACUCCAUGCCAGCUCUAAGAAUCACCAGUUCCUUCCCAUCACCGUCUUUCUUCUGCUCUGACACCACUUACGUAAACCUGAACAACAGAGACAGGCGCUCUAACAGAAACUGGUAUUUAUUUGGGAGUAGGCAUUGCAAUGGGAAUACGUGUGCCGUAGUAAACUAUGUGCAUAUAUAUGCAGCAAUGGAGAGCCAAUUAAUAAGGUUCUAUCCAUGCCAAGGGGACAACGGCAGGAUAAAAUAAUUCACAGUGGCUCGGGCCAGGUGUGUGGAGGCGCUGGCUGUGUGGGAUGUCCAGGCCUGCUCUCCACUCAUUCAGCACUCAGUCUUCUCAGACACUCGCAAACUGCAGAGGAAUUCGCCCUCCAAGGCCCCAUGAGGCUGAUUGCUGUUGACAGGUGAAGGCCUUUCUUCCCUCCCUGUCCCACUCACUGAGCAGCAGAAAGGCUCUGACAAGGGCCUGGCCCAGGGAAGAGAAGAGGCACCAGGGUGUGGUCCCAGUACCUUGCUCCUUGCUGUCCAUGGUCUUAUCCCCAUUGUCUUUGUCACUGGUUGCCAAGCUCUGCCUGCCUCAACGCUACACACAGCUCAGAGCAUGGCAGGCCCAUGGGGCAGCUGGUGGGGCACACGGGCAGGUGGUGGGGACUGCUGCUGUCCCCACCAGACUGGGGUCUGCAAAGGGACUCUGCAAGUGUGAUUAAGUUGAGGCUCUCGGAUCGGAUGGUCCUGAGUUGAUGGUCUCAGGAUUAAGAUGAUUAAGAUGAUGGUCUCGGAUCAGGUGGGCCCUGCGUGCACCUCAAGGGUCCUCUUAACAGGGAGGCAGGAGGGCCAGACAGAAACAGAGGUUGGAGUGAUGCAGCCAUGAGCCAAGGAGUGCCGGCUGCCUCUAGAAGCUGGAAAAUAUGGGAACAGUUCUCCCCUGGAGACUCCAGAAAGAGCCAACCCUGCCGACACCUUCAUUUUAGCCCAGUGAGACCCAUUUUGGACUCCUGACCUCCUGAACUGUACGAUAAUAAACGUGUGUUGCUUUAAGCCACGAGGUAUGUAGUUGUGUAUCACAGCAGCCAUAGCAAAAACACUGUCCAGUAGGGUCCAGAAAUCACAGGUGGCUGCAGAGACUGGACGAGUGGCCCCUCUGCAGGUAAACAACGCACCUCUCUGCAAACACUCCCCUUGUCUUAGUUCUGGUUGCAGACCCUGAGUGUGGAAUUGGGUUCUCCUUUCUUAGCUACUCAGCCUGACAUGCUGGUCCUGGCCUGGACCUCAGCUGAUGGGGAGCUCAGGUUACAGCGGGGAGGAGAUGAGUGUGCCCUGUCCUUGCAGGCUCAGGUCUGAGGAAACACACACAAGGGUGGCUGGACUGGAAGUCCAUGGCGACCAGUGCCGUGCAGAGCUGGCACCCCAGCUAUCGGUGAGGCCUGUGGGUGCCGCAGGACUUCCCGCAACUUCCCCUCCCCCUACCACCCUCCAUGUCCCGACUUUGUCCAUGCAGCCGUUGGUCACUGCUGCCCUCCAUCCCAUGGCUGAGGAUUUGUGGAUGCCUGGACUACACGCUCUGGAGUCAUGAACCACUGGCAAAACUUGUCAAUCAUUGCUUUGGAAUUCGGGAUUGAGAUGGGCAGGGCUAAAUUUAGCAUCUGCAUUCCCAUAUAGCAACCUAAUCAGGUUCCUAAAGCCUCUAGAAAUUCCAGGUUGAGCUUCCAGGAGGGCAGCACAGCUUGGGGGACAGUGCCUGGGGCCACGUCAGUGAGGGAAGGCUGGGGUUCGCUUCAGACAGCACUUUGCAGGGGAUGGGGCAGGUCGCAGUGACUCAGCACCGUGACCUUGACUGCCCUAUUUGGCUGUACCAGCGUCUGAAAGAAGUGCUUACCCUGGGGGACCAGGAGGACGUCAAAGUCCUCUGGAGAAACCCACAGUCUCACAGCAGUCCCUCCAUUCCCUCCACCUGAGGUGAAUCUGUGCGAUGAAGACACGGGCAGGUCCCGAGAACCAGACUCCAGGCGUCACUCCCGCAGCUUGGAACCGACCGCAGCAGGCACGCGGGACAGCCAGCCCUGUGCGCAGAGUGCAGGUUUCACGGUGGGCAAAAGUCAACGCCCCCAGCCACCCCAGGAGCAUGAGGGCUGCCUGGCACAGCUGAGCGUCUACUGAGGUGAGCUUUCCAUGGGCGGAGAAACUGCGAACAACACGAGCCUGAUUUAGGAAGAAAAAACUAACUUGAAGCAAGCCUUAGUACUUUGGGACAUUGAGUGGAAAGCUGGGUAAAUAUCUUGAGAUUUUUUUCUCUGUCCACCAAAGGCCUCAGCGUGAUGCCGCCUUUCCCCAGGACCAUCUCCAGGUCUCCCCGACGCGAGGCUCAGGCCCAGCUCUCGGCACGAGAGACACACAGCCUUGGCAGGGCUGUUGUGAGACCCUCAGCACAGGGGAUGGCUUUGUUCAUUUUUGUGUCCCCCACAAGGCUUGGGACAGUGACUUCACAUGAUUUGGCCCAACUGAAAUAAUUAUGUGUGUGGCUCUAUUUGCCUAAACAAAGGCAAAAAUACGUGUCUGGUCAUGAGAAAUCCCAGAGCCUAGUGGGCCCCAAAGGGCACCUCACUCAUUCAUCUGACAACCUCCAGUUCCUCCUAAGUGUGGCUACUGCCUGGGGAAAGCACAGGUGACUCCCAGGCCCUCUCAGAGAGCACCUGAUCCCGACAGCACAAGGACACCCAUCUCUCCUUCAGAGGCCUGGGCAGCCCCAGAGCCAACCCUGUUGAUGUCACGGCUUCCUAGGCUGCAGCUGGUGGAAGCCACAUACCAGAGGCUUGGAGGGUGAGGGCUGGCACCAAGGAAAAGUGUGGGUUGACCCUGGGGAGAGGAUGGGUCCAGCUGCUCCCUGCUAUGGGCAUUCACUAUGGCAGAAGCAACCAGCGCUCACCUCCCAAGGGCCUCACAGCGUGUGGAAUUAGAGAAAAGUGUAAUGAAUGUCUGAAUUUAUGGCAGAGGAACAUGAAAAAUUGUCUCUGCUUAAGAAGGCAGGAAAAUCUUUUUACUGUUGAUAUCAAGUUCAUUGAAGUAUAAUGUACAUCCAACAAAAUGAUGCAUUUUUAGCAAAUGGAAAUACCCGUGUAACUAUCACAAUUGAUACACAGG